UACGAAGGGGGCUAGCGUUGCUCGGAAUGACUGGGCGUAAAGGGCGCGUAGGCGGCUCAUACAGUCAGAUGUGAAAUUCCUGGGCUUAACCUGGGGGCUGCAUUUGAUACGUGUGGGCUUGAGUGGGGAAGAGGGUCGUGGAAUUCCCAGUGUAGAGGUGAAAUUCGUAGAUAUUGGGAAGAACACCAGUGGCGAAGGCGGCUCACUGGCCCGGUACUGACGCUGAGGCGCGAAAGCGUGGGGAGCAAACAGG
rnacentral:rRNA from 1 species